UCAAUAGCCUAAUGGUUAAGGUUACGGAUUUCUGAUCACGAGGUCGUGGGUUCGAAUCCCGCCAUUUGAC
rfam:Papilio xuthus contig17478, whole genome shotgun sequence.